UACGAAGGGGGCUAGCGUUGUUCGGAAUCACUGGGCGUAAAGGGCGCGUAGGCGGCCGAUCAAGUCGGGGGUGAAAGCCUGUGGCUUAACCACAGAAUGGCCUUCGAUACUGUUUGGCUUGAGACCGGAAGAGGUUAGUGGAACUGCGAGUGUAGAGGUGAAAUUCGUAGAUAUUCGGAAGAACACCAGUGGCGAAGGCGGCUCACUGGCC
rnacentral:rRNA from 1 species